GGUUAGUAUGCUGUCAGGUUUGAUGGUGAGCAGACUUGCCAGCCCCUAUCUUCAGUGCAUCCCUAUUUUCUGAGGAACCACUCGGGUCAAGGAUGACCCACAUCUUAGUAGAAAGUUGCCCAUCUAGAGACGACCACAAGAUGAACACAGCAUGUUUGCGAUGCAACGGGCCCGUCUGCCUACAGCAUCAAACUGUCUUGUGUCCGAAGUGUGUGCCUCGUACGUAGGUAACGAAUUUGGCCGUUGCACUUGUCGUGGGUGGGGGCCCAUUUACUGUACAUAUCCAUUAGAUUUUGACCUCUAUGGGUCUGACACCUUUUCUGGCUGUGGAGACUUGUAUAUUGUAGUUUUAGGAAGGAUUCCCUCAAUUUAUUUUUUUAUAUAGGUUAUUUUGUAUUUUUUAUAAAUAUCUUUGUAAAUUAUUUUUUGUUUUAUACUUAUUUUUUUUAAAUAUUUGUAAUAAAUAUUAAAUUUGUAGAUGGGUAUUAUUUAUCUCUUCAGUAGUAUAGUAUUAUCUUUAAACUAAUUUUAGAAACUAUAAUGUACAGCAAAAAUGAAGUUACUGAUUUUUGGCAUCAUCAAAUACGUCGCCUCUGGUCUUUGACAACUUCACCGUUGGUUCCAUUAGGAGACAUGUGCACAGCAUGUUUGCUGCUAAGCGAUUUUUCACUAUUGCCACUUUAGUGGAAGAACUUAAAAUGCUAAAUAUCAUUCCUGAAU